AAGCCCAUCUAAAUUCUAAACCGUUCUCUUUCACUUUCACUUUCUCUCUCUCAGACUUCUCCCAUUUCUCAUCACUGUGACCCAAGCCAACCAACGCGUCUCUUAAUCUUCUUCUCUCUCUAUCGCGACAUUAUCGGGAUCUUCUAAGCCAUAUGCUCAAACCCUCUCUCAUCUAUUCGAUGUCUAUCACACUCCACAACCAAAAACCCUAGAGACCAAUUCAACCAACAACCAAAUCCACACCCUAUCGCAUCUCAACCUUCUUCCAGUUUCUUGCGCCACCACCAAAAACCCAAGAACCAUAGAAACCCUUUCCACCAGCUACAUAAAUCUAUGCCAAAUUUCUCCACGCCUACGAGACUACUAUGUGGCCAAAUGGUUAACGAAUUUAAUUUUUAUCAUUCUUUUUAACUUAGGGUUUUGGAUUUGCAGGUAAUUGACUCCAAAUUGAGCACGCCACCAGCCUUGGACCUCUUCAUCCAUCUUUCAAGGACUCUAAUUGGGUUUACAUUCACAAAUUUACAAACAAAAAAAAAUGAAGGAAGGAACAUUAAUCAAUAACUUUAUCAAAGAAACUUGUAAGAAUUUCUUCUUUUUUCUUACUACAUUCUGUUUCCUUGUGAGAUUGUAUGUAUUUGUCACUGGCUAUUUUAUUCUGGGUAAUCGUUGGGGAUUAUUCAAAUGAUUUAUUUGCACAUAUGGAGGCUUUAAUAAGUUGUUUUAUUUGGUCUUUCUAUUUCAAUUUUUUGUUUGUUAUGAACUUGCAAGUUGGUAUUUUUUUUUUUUUGGGCUCCUUGGUUUUACAUGGUGAUUGAAGGUAAAAAAAUUUGAGUUGGUGAUACCAUUUAUUGAAAAGGAAAGUUGUUUGAUUUAGCUUUGAAUUGCUCUAAAAUUUGAACCAUAAUUCUUUUAAGUGCUCUGCAUUUGAAAAAGAUUGAAAAUGGUCUCUUGGGCAAGCAGAAUGAUUUCCCCCAACAUAGAUGAUUUUCUUUCUUCUAAUUAUCAGUGGCAAUGUCUUUUCUGUUUAUUAGUGUUAUUAUUUGGAGUCCUAGAAAACCAUGAAAAACUAUAUAAAGAAGGAUUUAAGAAACAUAUAUAUUUCUCCUAUAUAUAUUUUUAGCUGCUCAGUUCUUAUUAGACAAUAUGGGGUGACUGAUGCUGCAUAUGACUGAUGCUGCAUACUGAUACUACAUAUGGAUAUUAGACAAUAUGGGAUGACUGAUGCUGCUUAUGGAUAUUAGACGAUAUGAGGUGACUAAUGCUGCCAGAUUUUAUGUUUCCUCUUUCCAUGGGUUUCCCUAUUAAGUCUAAUCCCUUAAUUUGAGGUAGAUUGACAUCUAGAUGACUUGUUGUGAUUCUGUUGUUUGCAGGUUGGUCAUGGUUUUUGACAAGGGUAGUUCUCCUGCUCGUGUUUUUAAACCAAGAUGUUGUCGGUAUAGGUUUUAUACUAUGCAAGUUUUGGGUUUUAUCAACAUACUUGGUAACUUAAGUAAAAGCCACAACUUCCAGAACUCACCUUUUGAAGGAUAUUGAAUUUGGAAAACUAAUAUGUUAUUCACCUUUUUUUUCUAUACUAAGUUAGAUUUUGGUCUUAGGAAUGGUGUUGGAGUUGGGUUUUUAUUAAAUUUUGGCAGAUCUUCAUAUUCAUGCAAUCGCAGAUUGGUUUAGAUGUUUAAUUAUAAUUUAAGUAGUUUUUUGUUAAUUUUAUCUUUUGUUAGUAGAUUAUCUAGUCCUGACAUUUGGAGUCUUGAUAACUUAGUAACUAGGCUAUGAUAAAUUAGUGAAAUCAGAUACGCAAAAGGAAAAUGAGGAUAUGAUAGCACAACUGAAGGAUUGCAAGCCAAGGGCGGACCAACAACAUCUCCAGAGGAUGUUUUCAAGCAAAAUUCAUAUAAAUGUAAGAAACAAUAGUAUUACCACAAGGGAGAGGCAAAACCAUUUCAUCCGACAUGCAAGGAAAGCUCGCAUGGAUAAGAUGAAGAAAAAGAAGGAUGGAGUUAAAGGAGAAAGUAUUCAAGAAGCACUUGAGGUAGUGAUGGUGAUUUUUCAAAUGACAAUGAUACCUGUGCUAAACUAAAGACCAUGACAUGGCUGAUGACUUAUGUAUUUUGUUGUUGGUUUCAAAUAUGCACACGGUAUACCUGUUUUGUUACCGACUCAAUGCCUUAGAAUCUUGUUAGCAUCUCAAUAUGUUUAGAGGUGUUAGGAUGCUUAUGUUAGCUUUUGAGAUAUACACUUGGUGUAUGUAUUGGAUGUAAUCUAACUUAUGGAUCAAUGAAAUGUGAUUAACUAAA